AUUUGACUCAACACGGGGAAACUUACCAGGUCAAAACAUGGAUGGGAUUGACAGAUUGAAAGCUCUUUCUUGAUUCUAUGGGUGGUGGUGCAUGGCCGUUCUUAGUUGGUGGAGUGAUUUGUCUGGUUAAUUCCGAUAACGAACGAGACCUUAACCUGCUAACUAGUUUGCUUGUGAACAACAGGUAUAACUUCUUAGAGGGACUAUGUAUGUAAGUGCAUGGAAGUUUAAGGCAAUAACAGGUCUGUGAUGCCCCUAGACGUCAUGGGCCGCACGCGCGCUACACUGACACGUUCAGCGAGCUUAUUUACCUGUCCCGAAAGGGCACGGGAAAUCUUGUUAGGACGUGUCGUGCUGGGGAUAGAUC
rnacentral:rRNA from 1 species